GUGUGGUUUUCCAACACCGUGCGACUGCUAGUCUUUUACUAGUCCUCCCGGUUUUAACCUUUGCCUGUUUUUCUGGACUCCAUUCCCGCCUGCCUGCCCUGACCGCCAUUGUGUACCUCUGGAACUCUGAACUGGUUUUGAUCUUUUGCCUGUCCACGACCUUUCUCUUGCCUACCCCUUUUGGAUUGGUAAUAAUCAUCUUGGACUCUAACCAUCUGCCUCCUGUGUCUACAUCUGGGUCUCGCCUUGUGCCCUAAUGUCUUGAACGACAAAAUGAAUCGCAUGCAGUAUGGUUUAAACAUGAGGAACGUAUCAGUGAGCAACAGUAAUGGUUGGAUUACUACACACCUUUGCAUGCUCCAAACACCUGUGUGUAAGUAACUGGAGAUGAAGUGUCAUUUGUCAACUGGAUGUGCACAAAGCCUGUGGAUCCCUGAGAAAUUUCUACAGUGACACCAACCUCCUGUGGUGGAUUCAUAGGUGCAUUGCCAACAAUCACAGGAGUGCAGGAGAAGGUAACAACUUGUGAUCUGAUUUUCACCCCACCCUCGUGAGAAUGCAGGAGCAAUUGAUCAAGGUGUAUUACCAUUGGUUCACUGCAUAUUGAUCUGUGUUUGGAGCCCCACAGUGGAGAUGUCAUAAAACCUAGUGGUCAAAACGGGGAAAUGGUUCCAAUCAUUUUUCUACAGGGUAAAUAAACACAUACAAUAAGGUC